rnacentral:rRNA from 1 species
UACAGAGGGGGCAAGCGUUGUUCGGAAUUACUGGGCGUAAAGGGCGCGUAGGCGGCCUGUUAAGUCGAACGUGAAAUCCCCGGGCUCAACCCGGGAACUGCGUCCGAUACUGGCAGGCUUGAAUUCGGGAGAGGGAUGUGGAAUUCCAGGUGUAGCGGUGAAAUGCGUAGAUAUCUGGAGGAACACCGGUGGCGAAGGCGGCAUCCUGGACCGAGAUUGACGGCCUGAGGCGCGAAAGCCAGGGGAGCAAACGGGAUUGAGAGUACC